AAUUUUCACAUUCGAUGCUGCCAUGUUGUCUGCCAUCACCGAGAUGGUAAAAUGAAUGAAAAUAAGGGAAUACGGCUGUGCACAAGAUAAAAGAAUGAUUGUCAAUGGAGUGUUUACUUUUGGAAUAUCCACGGCUAAACAGGAACGAAUAUAAGUGAAUGAAUCGAGUCUCAACACCCAAGGCCACUACAUGCACCAUCUCAUGCAUGAUCAUGAGCACGGUUUUGAAAAAGUGUCUGCCCUGGUGACCGGGUUACACAGACCUAAAGAAAACCUUGCAUGAACUAACUCACUGAUUUUAUGAUCAAAUUAUGCAAACAAAUAAGAGUGAAAACAGAAUUUGUGUAAGGCUACGUAGAAAAGCAUAUAAAGAACAGAGCUGAAGUCUGACCAUUCCAUUGUGGACAUUAUUGUGAUAUUCGGCUAUUUGUGUGAUAUUGUUUAUGUGUGAAAUUAAAUCGGAGAGCACAUACAGGAGACUGUCAUAAAAAAGACAUCAAGAAUGCCUUAAAGAUUGCCGUGAUUAAUUGUAAUAUGACCAGUGACCUUGCAAGGCUUAAUUGAGAACUAUAUGGUUUGAACUUUGCUCAUUGUGAACUUUUGUCCAAGUCCAUCUGUGCAUGCAUGUUGUGAUCAAACUGCAUUCAAGGUUAUCAAUCUGCAGCAACAAAUCAUCACCGAUUGGUUGAGUACUAUUAUUCAAAUUUCAUUAUGGUUUGUUCAUCAAUUUUGUGUUUAUUUUUGAAAUUUAUAAAAUGUGCAAAAUUCAAAGUUAAUAAUUUUUACUUGUGUCCUUUAUCUCAAAUUUUGCUGCAACUGUUUAAGUUAAACAUCUUUGUUAAUCACCAGUUGAGGUUAUUUGUAAAUUGAUUAAAAAGCAAUAUAGUACAUGUAUAAGUAACUCAUUAUUAAUAAAUAUUAAAUAAUUAUAAGUGUUUAUUAAUUGUUUUUAUGUUGUAAUAUCUUAAAGUUGCUAUGUUUAUCUGUAAGCUUGCGGUAACUGUUUGUCGAAAUUAACUUAUAUAUGUGUUAUGGUAUUACAGAAUUAUUGAU
rnacentral:sRNA from 1 species